GGUCUCACCUGGCAGAGGAGACAUCAUGAUCAGGUAGGUGGUUCCUAGGGUGAGGGUCAUCCUCUGCACUCCAGACGUGCUGACCCCCUGUAAUUUCCCCAAAUGCGGAAAAUUCGACUGCGUAAUUUGUGGUACUGGGCGACUGCAGUCACACUCUCCCCUG
rnacentral:snRNA from 1 species